UACGGAGGGUGCAGGCGUUAAUCGGAAUUACUGGGCGUAAAGCGUGCGCAGGCGGUUUGCUAAGACAGGUGUGAAAUCCCCGGGCUUAACCUGGGAAUUGCGCUUGUAACUGGCAGGCUAGAGUGUAGCAGAGGGGGGUAGAAUUCCACGUGUAGCAGUGAAAUGCGUAGGUAUGUGGAGGAAUACCGAUGGCGAAGGCAGCCCCCUGGGUUAACACUGACGCUCAUGCACGAAAGCGUGGGGAGCAAACAGG
rnacentral:rRNA from 1 species